rnacentral:rRNA from 1 species
GACGAACGCUGGCGGCGUGCCUAAUACAUGCAAGUUGAGCGCUGAGGGGUGGUACUUGUUCCUACUGGAUGAGCGGCGAACGGGUGAGUAACGCGUGGGGAAUCUGCCUUUGAGCGGGGGACAACAUUUGGAAACGAAUGCUAAUACCGCAUAAAAACUUUAAACACAAGUUUUAAGAUUGAAAGAUGCAAUUGCAUCACUCAAAGAUGAUCCCGCGUUGUAUUAGCUAGUUGGUGAGGUAAAGGCUCACCAAGGCGAUGGUACAUAGCCGACCUGGAAGGGGGAUCGGCCACAUUGGGACUGAGAAACGGCCCAAACGCCUAAGGGAGGCAGCAGGAGGGAAUCUUCGGCAAAGGACGAAAGGCUGACCGGGCAACGCCGCGGUAGGGAAGAAGGUUCUCGGAUCGGAAAAACCUGUUUGUAGGGAAGAACGUUGGUGAGAGUGGAAAGCUCAUCAAGUGACGGUAACUACCCAGAAAGGGACGGCUAACUACGUG